rnacentral:rRNA from 1 species
CCUUGGGUUCGGAAUAACAGUUAGAAAUGACUGCUAAUACCGAAUGAUGUCUUCGGACCAAAGAUUUAUCGCCCAAGGAUGAGCCCGCGUCGGAUUAGCUAGUUGGUGAGGUAAAGGCUCACCAAGGCGACGAUCCGUAGCUGGUCUGAGAGGAUGAUCAGCCACACUGGGACUGAGACACGGCCCAGACUCCUACGGGAGGCAGCAGUGGGGAAUAUUGGACAAUGGGCGAAAGCCUGAUCCAGCAAUGCCGCGUGAGUGAUGAAGGCCUUAGGGUUGUAAAGCUCUUUUACCCGGGAUGAUAAUGACAGUACCGGGAGAAUAAGCCCCGGCUAACUCCGUG